CGCAACAGAAGAACCCACUUCAACAUGGUAUGUGACGUCACAGAGGAUCAAGCGGCCCAUGGAAUAAUGCAAGAAAGAAGAGAAGUCCGCGAAUAAAGCUGCCGAAGAAAAGUGCAAGACGAAGAACAAAGACGAAGACACCAUAAGGAUACACGGUUUGAGGUUUGAGUAUUAUAAGUAUGAGUUGUGUGUUGUAUGCGUGUCUUGUCUGCGCUGCUGUUUUCUUACUCUGCUGGACCUAAUGUUGCCAGCUAUUUUUAGUCAGUCACUACUAUAGUGCAUUUUGCAUGUCUAUGAAAUAUAUGCAAUAAAACUAUGGCGAUUAUCUUGCUGGAUCAGAUUUUGUUGCUGUACACUCUAUUGUGUACUUCGUCUACAAAGGUCGAACCCUUCAGCGAUUCUGUAUUGUCCUGAUCGCUUGGUGAGAACGCUAUGUUGGUACACAAAUACUCGAGUAAUAUUAACACGUAGUAUAAUAAGCGCACAUAACUAAAAUCCAUGAAUUUUCAUUUAAAUUAGUAAAAUAUAAGCUUCUC